UUGAACGCUGGCGGCAUGCCUUACACAUGCAAGUCGAACGGUAGAGUAGCAAUACUUGAGAGUGGCGAACGGGUGAGUAAUAUAUCGGAACGUGCCCAGUCGUGGGGGAUAACGUAGCGAAAGCUACGCUAAUACCGCAUACGAUCUAUGGAUGAAAGCGGGGGAUCGCAAGACCUCGCGCGAUUGGAGCGGCCGAUAUCAGAUUAGGUAGUUGGUGAGGUAAAGGCUCACCAAGCCGACGAUCUGUAGCUGGUCUGAGAGGACGACCAGCCACACUGGGACUGAGACACGGCCCAGACUCCUACGGGAGGCAGCAGUGGGGAAUUUGGACAAUGGGCGCAAGCCUGAUCCAGCAAUGCCGCGUGCAGGAUGAAGGCCUUCGGGUUGUAAACUGCUUUGUACGGAACGAAACGGUGAGCUCUAAUACAGUUUGCUAAUGACGGUACCGUAAGAAUAAGCACCGGCUAACUACGUG
rnacentral:rRNA from 1 species